rnacentral:sRNA from 1 species
CCCGGCCGUGGCGAAAGUGCCGACGGAGCCGGAGACCCGCUCCCAGAGACGCCGCCUCGCGAUCCCCGCGCGGGCGGGACCGGGCGGCCGGCGUCAUGACCCUGUUUCACUUCGGGAACUGCUUCGCUCUUGCCUACUUUCCCUACUUCAUCACCUACAAGUGCAGCGGCCUGUGAGUGCGGGAAGGGCGCGGGGCGGAGAGGGCGCGGAGCCCGGGCCGACCCUCACCUCCUGCUUCUCCAGGUCCGAGUACAACGCCUUCUGGAAAUGCGUCCAGGCUGGAGUCACCUACCUCUUUGUCCAACUCUGCAAGAUGCUGUUCUUGGCCACUUUCUUUCCCACCUGGGAAGGCGGCAUCUAUGACUUCAUUGGGGUGAGAGGGGCCAGGGAAGGGCAGGGAGUUCAGGAGUGGGGCUCCCUGUCCCUCUGUGCUUACUUAAGCCUCAACCUGACCCGCAGGAGUUCAUGAAGGCCAGCGUGGAUGUGGCAGACCUGAUAGGUCUAAACCUUGUCAUGUCCCGGAAUGCCGGCAAGGGGGAGUACAAGAUCAUGGUUGCUGCCCUGGGCUGGGCCACCGCCGAGCUUAUUAUGUCCCGGUGCGUGCAACAGCCUGGAGC